rnacentral:misc_RNA from 1 species
UCCGUGUUAACCACGGCAGUCUCUUUAGAGUGCCCAACUUAAUGCUGGCAACUAAAGACAAGGGUUGCGCUCGUUGCGGGACUUAACCCAACAUGUCACCACACGAGCUGACGACAGCCAUGCAGCACCUGUCACUCUGCCGUAUUGCUACGGAAACUGUAUUUCUACAGCUGUCAGAGGAUGUCAAACCCAGGUAAGGUUUUUCGCGUUGCUUCGAAUUAAACCACAUGAUCCACCGCUUGUGCGGGCCCCCGUCAAUUCCUUUGAGUUUUAGUCUUGCGACCGUACUUCCCAGGCGGGGUACUUAUUGCGUUAGCUCCGACUCGGCAGGGGUCAAAUCCCGCCAAGCCUAGUACCCAUCGUUUACAGCGUGGACUAC